rnacentral:miRNA from 15 species
UGCCAUACUGCUCAAACUUAAUU